AAUUUGCAGAGGAUGCUUCGGGAGUGGCCCCCAUCUAAGUGCCCUGGAACGGGCCGUCAUAGAGGGUGAGAAUCCCGUCUGGGAUGGGGUGCCCACGCCCGUGUGAAGCUCCUUCGACGAGUCGAGUUGUUUGGGAAUGCAGCUCUAAAUGGGUGGUAAAUUUCAUCUAAAGCUAAAUACUGGCCGGAGACCGAUAGCGCACAAGUAGAGUGAUCGAAAGAUGAAAAGCACUUUGAAAAGAGAGUUAAACAGCACGUGAAAUUGUUGAAAGGGAAGCGCUUGCGACCAGACUCGCCCACGGGGUUCAGCCGGCAUUCGUGCCGGUGUACUUCCCCGCGGGCGGGCCAGCGUCGGUUUGGGCGGCCGGUCAAAGGCCCUUGGAAUGUACCGCCCCCCGGGGCGGCUUAUAGCCAAGGGUGCCAUGCGGCCAGCCCGGACCGAGGAACGCGCUUCGGCUCGGACGCUGGCAUAAUGGUCGUAAGCGACCCGUCUUGAAACACGGACCAAGGAGUCUAACAUCUACGCGAGUGUUCGGGUGUCAAACCCGUGCGCGCAGUGAAAGCGAACGGAGGUGGGAACCCCUCGGGGCGCACCAUCGACCGAUCCUGAUGUCUUCGGAUGGAUUUGAGUAAGAGCGUAGCUGUUGGGACCCGAAAGAUGGUGAACUAUGCCUGAAUAGGGCGAAGCCAGAGGAAACUCUGGUGG
rnacentral:rRNA from 1 species